UUUAUUGGCCAAAAAAAGAAAAACUAAUAAAUCAUUAGAAAACUUUUGUUCUGUGUUCUUUCCUAGCAAGCUGAAAUUAGAACAGACGCUACUAUACUCUUCUUUCCUAACUGAAAAUAUACCAUUUCUCUUCUCCAUGACGUAAAAUCAAAGAGUAGAAGCUGAAGAUCGAAGAGAUGAAGUUGAUGACUGAAGCACUAAGCUGAAAAACGGAAGAGCUGAGUUGAUUCUUUUCUCUAAAACCCAAUUUUCUCGAAUAGAUGAAGAAUUGAUUCUGACGAAGAUCGAGGAAGAGAAGAUCGAAAAGCUGAAGAGUGGAAGCUAAGUAACCGAUUUCGUCAAGUGUAAGUACCAAUUUUGUAUAGCCGAUUGAGAAGGUGAUAUUUCAUCCGCUUGCGCUUUUGAGCAUCACAGAUAACAACAAUAGAGUUGCAAGAGACACAAGGAAACAUGUUGUUGGGUCUUUCUUGGAACUUAAUUUAAAGGCAUUGUUGAUGUUACAAAUUGGAAUGGAGGAUGGCAAGUUACAUUCUUUGGAAGGCAAGCAGGAAACUGCCACUGAAUUAAUUUGAUGAAUAGAGGACAGAAGUAAACUCGAUUUAUAGUGAACGAUAAAGAGUUUUUGUACGAUUAUCAUAAAUUUUGUUUGAAUACAUUUGGUUUUGUGGAAUGUAUUGCUAUUAGAGAUCGUUAAGUAAUUGCUUUCUAUAUGUAUGCAUGGGACAUGUUCUCAAAUGUUAUUUAAUUUGAAAUAUAUACUUUCAAAUUAGGCCUAA